GUCUGUGCUUUCACCUUCAUCAGGAGGCUCUUUAGGUCCUCUUCACUUUCUGCCAUUAGAGUAGUGAAAUCUGCGUAUCUGAAGUUGUUGAUAUUUCUCCUGGCAGUCUUGAUUCAUCCAGCUUGUGAGUCAUCCAGCCAGGCACUUUACAUGAUGUACUCUGCAUAUAAGUUAAAUAAACAGGGUGACAACAUACAGCUUUGACGUACUCCUUUCCCAGUCUUGAAACAGUCCGUUGUUCCAUGUCCUGUUCUAACUGUUGCUUUCUUGACCUGUGUGCAGAUUCCUCAGGAGACAGGUAAGGUGGUCUGGUAUUCCCAUCUCUUGAAGAAUUUUCCAGUUUGUUGUAAUCCACACAGUCAAAGGCUUUAGCAGAGUCAAGCAGGUGUUUUUCUGGAAUUCCCUUGUUUUCUCUAUGAUCCAGAAGAUGUUGGCAAUUUGAUUUCUGGUUCUUCUGCCUUUUCUAAGUCCAUCUUGUAUAUCUGGAAGUUCUAGGUUCACAUACUACUGAAACACAGCUUGAAGGAUUUUGAACAUCACUUUGCUAGUAUGUGAAAUGAGUGCAAUUCUGUGGUAGUUUGAACAUUCUUUGGCAUUUCCUUUCUUUGAGAUUGGAAUUAAAACUGAUCUUUUCCAGUCCUGUGGCCACUGCUGAUUUCCACAGCAAAUUUUCCAAAUUUGCUGGUGUAUUGAGUGCAGCACUUUUACAGCAUCGUCUUUCAGGAUUUGAAAUAGCUCAGCUGGAAUUCCGUCACCUCCACUAGCUUUGUUUGUAGUAAUGGUAAAGCCCACUUGACUUCAUGUUCCUGGAUGUCUGGCUUUAGAUGGGAAUAACUAAAGAACUUAAUACGAACACAGUAGCUCCAUGAUUACUAUGCCCUGAGUGGAGUCAAUGUGAACAGCAAUAGACACACAGCAUUCCUGUGACAGUCACAUACAUACGCAUGAGCAUACAAAUGAUGAGAACUUCCCGUUUCUGUUUGUGGGAUCCAUAGAGCACUGAGACUCCAAUCACAAUUGCUACAGCUGAGGCAGUGGAGUGUGCAAGAUCCAAAAAAGGAGUGGGAUGAAUCAUAGUUGUUUCACGAAGGAGAUGGUAGGUAUACUGAAGGAUGAGGACUUAAAAAGCACAGACGCAAGGGGUCGAGGGAAAGUGUAGAGAAGAUAGGAGUUGGAGAAUGGGCAUGAUUACAUGGGACUCAUUCUGAAGACUCAACCACUGAGGUCUUGCUCAUAUUGUGUGAUAUAUAAUUGCCUUCUAUGCUUAGCAUUCACCAUCAUAUACUUUGCUUCUGAAAUGUAAUUCCAUUUUCCUUUCUUCUGUGAGAGGAUUGGGAAAGGUGGGAGUUGGGGUUGCUGAGGGAAACAGUUGUGAGUGGGUAGGAAGUAG
ensembl:lncRNA